rnacentral:sRNA from 1 species
AACGAACAAACAAACAAGAUAUUAGAUAAUCGGCUAAUAUCGCCAAUUUUUUGGUGCCUGCUGUAAUGCGAGGCGUGUU